rnacentral:rRNA from 1 species
GACGAACGCUGGCGGCGUGCUUAACACAUGCAAGUCGAACGGAAAGGCCCUGCUUUUGUGGGGUGCUCGAGUGGCGAACGGGUGAGUAACACGUGAGUAACCUGCCCUUGACUUUGGGAUAACUUCAGGAAACUGGGGCUAAUACCGGAUAGGAGCUCCUGCUGCAUGGUGGGGGUUGGAAAGUUUCGGCGGUUGGGGAUGGACUCGCGGCUUAUCAGCUUGUUGGUUGGGUAGUGGCUUACCAAGGCUUUGACGGGUAGCCGGCCUGAGAGGGUGACCGGCCACGUUGGGACGGAGAUACGGCCCAGACUCCUACGGGAGGCAGCGGUGGAGAAUAUUGCACAAUGGGCGGAAGCCUAGUGCAGCAACGCCGCGUGGGGGAUGACGGCCUGCGGGUUGUAAACCGCUUUCGCCUGUGACGAAGCGUGAGUGACGGUAAUGGGUAAAGAAGCACCGGCUAACUACGUG